rnacentral:rRNA from 1 species
AUUGAACGCUGGCGGCAUGCCUUACACGUGCAAGUCGAACGGUAACAGGUCUUCGGAUGCUGACGAGUGGCGAACGGGUGAGUAAUACAUCGGAACGUGCCUAGUAGUGGGGGAUAACUACUCGAAAGAGUGGCUAAUACCGCAUGAGAUCUACGGAUGAAAGCAGGGGAUCGCAAGACCUUGUGCUACUAGAGCGGCCGAUGGCAGAUUAGGUAGUUGGUGGGAUAAAAGCUUACCAAGCCGACGAUCUGUAGCUGGUCUGAGAGGACGGUCAGCCACACUGGGACUGAGACACGGCCCAGACUCCUACGGGAGGCAGCAGUGGGGAAUUUUGGACAAUGGGCGCAAGCCUGAUCCAGCAAUGCCGCGUGCAGGAUGAAGGCCUUCGGGUUGUAAACUGCUUUUGUACGGAACGAAAAGCCCUGGGUUAAUACCCUGGGGUCAUGACGGUACCGUAAGAAUAAGCACCGGCUAACUACGUGCCAGCCGCCGCAGUAA